UUCCGGUUGAUCCUGCCGGAGGCGACCGCUUUGGGAGUUCGAUUAAGCCAUGCGAGUCGUGAGUCUUAGGGACUCGGCAUACUGCUCAGUAACACGUGGAUAACCUGCCCUAUCGUCUGGAAUAACCUCGGGAAACUGAGAAUAAGGCCGGAUAGUUCACAAUGCCUGGAACGGUUUGUGAAUCAAGGUAGGAUGGGUCUGCGGCGUAUCAGGUUGUAGGGGGUGUAAAGGACCCCCCAGCCUUCGACGCGUACGGGUGUUGGGAGACAUAGCCCGGAGAUGGAUUCUGAGACACGAAUCCAGACCCUACGGGGUGCAGCAGGCGCGAAAACUUCACACUGCAGGAAGCUGUGAUGAGGGAACUCCUAGUGCAUGCACUAUGUGUAUGUAGAUCCUACUCUUAACAAGUAGAGGGAAAGGGCUGGGAAAGACCGGUGCCAGCCGCCGCGGUAAUACCGGCAGCUCAAGUGGUCGUCGCUUUUAUUGGGCCUAAAACGUCCGUAGCCUGUUUGGUAAAUCUGUGGGUAAAUCAAUCCGCUCAACGGAUUGAAUUCUGCAGAGACUGCCAGACUAGGGACCGGGAGAGGUGUGGGGUACUCGAGGGGUAGGGGUAAAAUCCUGUCAUCCUUCGAGGACCACCAGUUGCGAAGGCGCCACACUGGAACGGAUCCGACGGUCAGGGACGAAGCCUAGGGGCACGAACCGGAUUAGAUACCCGGGUAGUCCUAGGUGUAAACGCUGUGAACUUGGUGUCGGGGGUCCGCAAGGGGCCCCCGGUGCCGGAGUGAAGAUGUUAAGUUCACUGCCUGGGGAGUACGGUCGCAAGGCUGAAACUUAAAGGAAUUGGCGGGGCAGCAC
rnacentral:rRNA from 1 species